UACAGAGGGUGCGAGCGUUGUCCGGAAUCACUGGGCGUAAAGGGCGCGUAGGCGGCAAUUCAAGUCAGCUGUGAAAUCUCCGGGCUUAACUCGGAACGGUCAGCUGAUACUGCUUUGCUAGAGUGCAGAAGGGGCAAUCGGAAUUCUUGGUGUAGCGGUGAAAUGCGUAGAUAUCAAGAGGAACACCUGAGGUGAAGGCGGAUCUCUGGGCCAUUACUGACGCUGAGGAGCGAAAGCGUGGGGAGCGAACAGG
rnacentral:rRNA from 1 species